rnacentral:rRNA from 1 species
UACGUAGGUGGCAAGCGUUGUCCGGAUUUACUGGGCGUAGAGAGCGCGCAGGCGGUCGUUCAAGUCGCGUGUGAAAGCCCCCGGCUCAACUGGGGAGGGUCACGCGAUACUGAUCGACUCGAAGGCAGGAGAGGGUAGUGGAAUUCCCGGUGUAGUGGUGAAAUGCGUAGAUAUCGGGAAGAACACCAGUGGCGAAGGCGGCUCACUGGCCCGGUACUGACGCUGAGGCGCGAAAGCGUGGGGAGCAAACAGG